UACGUAGGGGGCUAGCGUUGUCCGGAAUCAUUGGGCGUAAAGAGCGUGUAGGCGGCCCGGUAAGUCCGCUGUGAAAGUCGGGGGCUCAACCCUCGAAUGCCGGUGGAUACUGUCGGACUAGAGUGCGGAAGAGGCGAGUGGAAUUCCUGGUGUAGCGGUGAAAUGCGCAGAUAUCAGGAGGAACACCGAUUGCGAAGGCAGCUCGCUGGGACGUCACUGACGCUGAGACGCGAAAGCGUGGGGAGCAAACAGGG
rnacentral:rRNA from 1 species